GUGAAUGGGUAACUCAACUUCCUCUUUUGCCCCCUGGCAGGUGCUGCCUGGGGCCUUUGCUUGGGGCCUAUGAGAUUACAUCUGGGAUAGGAGCAGCACCAGAAGAACGUCCUGUCCACAGCCUCCUGGAGUCCUAAGUCAUCAUCCCCACACAUCCAGAGAGUGCCAAGUGCCAGCAAUGUUAUGUAUUAAUAUUAUUCACUUCAACUUUAAAAAGCUACCUCAUUUCAUCAUAGACUCACACAACUACUCAGUAACAGAAUUUAUAAUUCCCUCUCCCACGCCUGCGAGUUGUUUUUUUUUUCCCCAUUAAAGAGGAAGUAGAGAUUCAGAAGUUAACUUGUCAAAGUUCACACCUUCAAAAAUGACUGUCAAGUUUCAACUCAGAGCUGCUUGGAUCCAAAAUAGGAAGCAAAGACCAACAAUGAUAAAGGAAGGUUUGUAAACCUCCAGUGACAUUAAGAAACCAAGCUCUUCUGGAUGAAAAUGAGAGAAGUCGUCUAUGUGGUGAAAAGUAUUUACAUCGGUUAAGAUCAUUCCCAGAACCUCAGAAGAACACUCCUGAGGGUUACUACUCUUCUGUCCUGCAUCAUCUUGGGUCAGGGGUUGGUAAACUACAGCCAGUGGACCAAGUCUGGCCCAUCACCUAGGGCUCACGAGGAAUGUAGACUUGACAUAUGGAGCUGCACCAGCCAUCUUACAACCAUGAAGAGACUAACAGUCAUGGAGUGGAGAAGGAUAAGAGCUGAGACUUUGGCGAUACCAUCUGCCUCACAUUGCCUGCCUUGAACUGCUUGUCACAUGAGAAAGAUGAACUCCUAUUUGUUUCAGCAACCAUAAGUUGAGUUUCAUGUUAUUUACUAUUGAAUGCAUUCCAAGUUGACAUCCCAUCCAUGGGAUAAGCCUCACCUUCCCCCAUGAUGUUUUAAUAUAAUAGCCUGAUGAACCAAAGGAAAAAAUAUUGUACCUGUCAGAAAAACAAUAGAGAGUGAAGCUUUGUAAUGUAUAAUCAGCUUUGUAAAUUGUGAAGCACAAGUCAUGCUCGCAAAUUGUGAAACAUAAAUUUCUAUGUAUCCACAACAGUAUAAGAAUGAUAAAUGCACAGAAACAGACAAAAAGAAGAGAACAGCCUGUAGAUUAGACUGUUAUUCACCAUAUAUUCAUUCUUUCCCACUCCAUGUCCCCAAAACUCCAUGGAAAAAGUGUAUUUCCCUUCCACAUUGAUGUUAAACUUGGCCAUGUGAUUUGCUUCGGUCAGUGGGCUGUGGGCAGAAGUGACAGCCAUAGUGUAGGCCUUAAAAGAUAUCAGGUGUUUGUGCUCUACACUCUUGCGCUUCUGUCUUCACCAUGAGAAGGACAUACCUUGAGUAAGCUGCUGAUCUAAUGAGGAUGAGAGAUCUGUGGAGCUGAAAUGAACUGAACCGAGAGCUAGAGUCAAGCCCAGCCAGACGCUUACUGACUUCAGGACGCAUGAAUAAGAAGUAAGUAUUUGUUACUAUACAUCACUGGGUUUUUGAGGGAGGUUGCUAUGCAGCAUUAGUAUUGUAAUAACUAACUGAUACACAACCCUGAGAGCAUAAUCUCACAAAAUAAACUAUAGUUAUUUUAAUUUUUUAAACAAAUAUUAGUAUUGUCAUGACCUAUAACAACAUUCUA